ACGAUAAAAUCCCAGUGCUACAGUAAGACAUGUAAAUACUGAACCUGAAAGAAAACACAAGAGUUAGUGUGAAAAUGAGAAAAGCUCCAGGAAGUUGAUGCUGAGCUGGGAUUCCUGGGAAGAUCACUUGCCAUGACUCAUGUCCAAUCUAAGCUCUCCUUCCCAAAAGUUGGUGUUGGUUGCCAUGAACACUACUGGUGCAUCUGCCAAAGCUGUGUCCUUGUUAUCACUACUGAAGGGACUGGACAUCUGAAGGGACUAUCAACACAUGGUACAUAUCCUGAACCAGGUACCUCCACACCUGAUUGGGAAGUUCUGAAGGAGAUGAAAGUUAGAGUACUCAAGGAACUGGAUGAUUUGGUGAACAUGGCAAGCUCAUAUGAUUGCACCUUUGCUAGCAGCUUAUCCAGAAAGUGGUAGAACUGGAUGUCCUCUUAUCUCAGAAUAGCCGAAAAAUCAUUA